UCCACAGUAGCUCAGUGGUAGAGCUAUCGGCUGUUAACCGAUCGGUCGCAGGUUCGAAUCCUGCCUGUGGAGCCAUA
rnacentral:tRNA from 1 species